rnacentral:rRNA from 1 species
AGAGUUUGAUCCUGGCUCAGAUUGAACGCUGGCGGCAUGCUUUACACAUGCAAGUCGAGCGGCAGCGCGGGGGCAACCCUGGCGGCGAGCGGCGAACGGGUGAGUAAUGCAUCGGAACGUACCCUGGAGUGGGGGAUAACGCGGCGAAAGCGGCGCUAAUACCGCAUAUGCUCUGAGGAGGAAAGUGGGGGACCGCAAGGCCUCACGCUCUGGGAGCGGCCGAUGUCCGAUUAGCUAGUUGGUGGGGUAAAGGCUUACCAAGGCGACGAUCGGUAGCUGGUCUGAGAGGAUGAUCAGCCACACUGGGACUGAGACACGGCCCAGACUCCUACGGGAGGCAGCAGUGGGGAAUUUUGGACAAUGGGGGCAACCCUGAUCCAGCCAUGCCGCGUGAGUGAAGAAGGCCUUCGGGUUGUAAAGCUCUUUUGGUCGGGAAGAAAGCGCCUUGCCUAAUACGCGAGGUGGUUGACGGUACCGGCAGAAUAAGCACCGGCUAACUACGUG